AAAAUCCGUCGACUUGAAAAAUCGUGAGGGUUCAA
rnacentral:tRNA from 1 species